CUGUCAGUUCCACCUACAGCUACCCGUCGGCACCCACCUUUGUGUGGCCACCACAACCACAUCCGAUGGCUGUCCCUCCGCGUCCUCUAUAUGGAUAUCCUCAUAUGUACUAUCAAGGAUACCUCCCAUAUGGAUUUCCUCACAUGUACUAUCAGGAAUAUCCCCCAGAGCAAGAUCACAGAGAUGACGAAUGAGUACCCAUGUAUGUAGGAUUCGACGUUACAAUGUGAGUCAUCAACAAUUUCCGGUCGGUCGUAAGGUUUUCCUGUUGGAAAACACCGAAAUAAAAAUUUUAGAGUAUAUUUUGUGUUAACUAUUUGAGACUUGUAUUAUUUGAACCUAUAAAUUGUGUUAACAAGUUGAACCUAUAUUUUAUUGCAUUUGGAUUGUGGUUUGUAUUGA